GACGAACGCUGGCGGCGUGCUUAACACAUGCAAGUCGAACGGAAAGGCCCUGCUUUUGUGGGGUGCUCGAGUGGCUAACGGGUGAGUAACACGUGAGUAACCUGCCCUUGACUUUGGGAUAACUUCAGGAAACUGGGGCUAAUACCGGAUAGUAGCUCCUGCUGCAUGGUGGGGGUUGGAUAGUUUCGUCGGUUGGGGCUGGACGCGGGGCUUAUCAGCUUGUUGGUGGGGUAGUGGCUUACCAAGGCUUUGACGGGUAGCCGGCCUGUGAGGGUGACCGGCAACAUUGGGACUGAGAUACGGCCCAGACUCGUACGGGAGGCAGCAGGGGGGAAUAUUGAACAAUGGGGGGAAGCCUAAUGCAGCAACGCCGCGGGCGGGAUGAAGGCCUUGGGGUUGUAAACCGCUUUCGCCUGUGACGAAGCGUGAGUGACGGUAAUGGGUAAAGAAGCACCGGCUAACUACGUG
rnacentral:rRNA from 1 species